rnacentral:tRNA from 1 species
UGGGGGAUCGUCCAGUGGUAGGACAGUGGACUCUGGAUCCAUUAACGGGGGUUCAAAUCCUCCUCCCCCAGCCA